UACAGAGGGUGCGAGCGUUGUCCGGAAUCACUGGGCGUAAAGGGCGCGUAGGCGGCCUGAUAAGUAGGGGGUGAAAUCCUGUGGCUUAACUGCAGGGCUGCCUCCUAGACUGUUAGGCUCGAGCACGGUAGAGGCAGAUGGAGUUCCCGGUGUAGCGGUGGAAUGCGUAGAGAUCGGGAAGAACAUCGGUGGCGAAGGCGGUCUGCUGGGCCGUUGCUGACGCUGAGGCGCGACAGCGUGGGGAGCAAACAGG
rnacentral:rRNA from 1 species